rnacentral:rRNA from 1 species
AUUACCGCGGCUGCUGGCACGGAGUUAGCCGGUGCUUAUUCAUCUGGUACCGUCAACCCCAAUAGAAAUCGGGGGUUUCUUCCCAAAUAAAAGAAGUUUACAAUCCAGAGGACCUUCAUCCUCCACGCGGCAUGGCUGGUUCAGACUUGCGUCCAUUGACCAAUAUUCCUUACUGCUGCCUCCCGUAGG